ACUGGCGGGUAGUCAGCGGGCCGCGAACCUGCGGGAUGCGGUCUCGCCGGGAUUGCUUUGCGGCCGCUUCGGCCGCGGCCUGCCAUUU
rnacentral:tRNA from 1 species